rnacentral:rRNA from 1 species
GAGAAACGGUCUAGCUUGCUAGAUGCAGUCUAAGUGGCGCACGGGUGAGUAAUGUAUAGGUAAUGUGCCUUUUAGUGGGGGAUAACAGUUGGAAACGACUGCUAAUACCCUAUAUUCCUUAUUAACAAAAGUGUGUAAGGGAAAGAUUUAUUGCUAAAAGAUCGGCCUAUAUUGUAUCAGCUUGUUGGUGAGGUAAUGGCUCACCAAGGCAAUGACGCAUAACUGGUUUGAGAGGAUGAUCAGUCACACUGGAACUGAGACACGGUCCAGACUCCUACGGGAGGCAGCAGUGGGGAAUAUUGCACAAUGGACGGAAGUCUGAUGCAGCAACGCCGCGUGGAGGAUGACGCAUUUCGGUGUGUAAACUCCUUUUAUAUAAGAAGAUAAUGACGGUAUUAUAUGAAUAAGCACCGGCUAACUCCGUGCCAGCAGCCGCGGUAAUACGGGGGGUGCAAGCGUUACUCGGAAUCACUGGGCGUAAAGAGCGUGUAGGCGGAUUGGUAAGUUGGAUGUGAAAGCCUAUGGCUCAACCAUAGAAUUGCUUCCAAAACUGCUAGUCUAGAGUGUGGGAGAGGUAGAUGGAAUUUCUGGUGUAGGGGUAAAAUCCGUAGAGAUCAGAAGGAAUACCGAUUGCGAAGGCGAUCUACUGGAACAUAACUGACGCUGAGACGCGAAAGCGUGGGGAGCGAACAGGAUUAGAUACCCUGGUAGUCCACGCCCUAAACGAUGUACACUAGUUGUUGUGAGGCUUGACCUUGCAGUAAUGCAGUUAACACAUUAAG